rnacentral:lncRNA from 1 species
UCCUCCUGAAGCAAGUUAAAGAACAACUUAGCUUCUUCUUUUUUUAUCCCUCUUUUAACAGAAAAUCCCAGAGAAAUAGCUAAAAGAAUGGGAAAAAAAUUUGCAACAAAACAACCAAUAUAAACUGUAUUUUGUGUUUUUAAACAGCACUUGGGGCCAAAAAAAGACCCUCUUGUUUUCUUGACAAAACCCCAAAAGAUCUUUAUUGGUUAUCCACGAAAAGACCCUCUCCCAACCAGCAGCAUCCAGUGCAGGAAACAAAUCCACAAACGAAAACGACAUCCAACAUUGAAUUCUCC